AUUAGCGUUUGCCUGCAGAUGACCAUUAUUAGUCAAUCAUUUCAAAUUGAUGGGCAGCGAAGUGAAUGAAUAAAUCAAAACUUUCGAAUUCCUUUAGUCCGGUAUUUCAUUCCUUCGUCCAUCAGGUCCGUGAUGGAAUUAUUGCCGAACCAGAAUUUUAUUCUAUGGCUUGAGCUUCGGUAGUUGAAAGCUCUUCAAUUGGUACUUCUGUAGAGGUCGGCGAAGAUGAACCCUUUAUGUUGCUAUUUGAUGUUCAUCAGAUGGACUUCGGUAAACCGUAUUUUGGGCCUUUAUUGGUCUUAUUAUAAUUCCUUUUGUCCUGAACCGAUGCCAUUUAUAGUUUCCUAUUAAACCUCCUGUUUAAUAAAAAACUAGGGGGCAAUGUUGGGUCGUGAUAUUUCUCCUAUUCGGCCGAAUGGAUUGGGCCUACUUAUUCAGUUAGUCCAUU
rnacentral:lncRNA from 1 species